rnacentral:misc_RNA from 1 species
GAGACAAGCAUAUGACUACUGGCAGGAUCAACCAGGUAGCAUUCCUUCGCGACGCCGACGCCCGCAUGAGACCCGGCAGGCCGUACGGCCGCGGGCUCAAGACGGGCACGGCAGUCGUUCGUGUCGUAAGACAAAUGCGUUGCUUGGGCAAACGGAGCUAAUAAAUAGACCCCGCACCCGCACAUAACAUUCUGCAUCCGAGAGCACGGGCAAUGCACCUCAUGGGCCGAGGCAGCGACGCAGCUGGGCGAAGCAUGCCGGGAACACGAGGCUUGCCUGAUGUCCACCCCAAAACCCGUGAGGGCAAGGGGCGGAAAGGGGCUAACGAAACCAUCGGAUUCCUUUCGAUAGGUAAGCAACACAGGAUACCGAA